rnacentral:rRNA from 1 species
UACGUAGGGGGCAAGCGUUGUCCGGAAUCAUUGGGCGUAAAGCGCGUGUAGGCGGUUCAGUAAGUCUGCUGUGAAAGUCCAGGGCUCAACCCUGGGAUGCCGGUGGAUACUGCUGGACUAGAGUGCGGAAGAGGCGAGUGGAAUUCCCGGUGUAGCGGUGAAAUGCGCAGAUAUCGGGAGGAACACCGAUUGCGAAGGCAGCUCGCUGGGACGUUACUGACGCUGAGACGCGAAAGCGUGGGGAGCAAACAGG